UACGAAGGGGGCUAGCGUUGCUCGGAAUUACUGGGCGUAAAGGGCGCGUAGGCGGCACUGUUAGUCAGGCGUGAAAGUCCUGGGCUCAACCUGGGAACUGCGCUUGAUACGGCAGAGCUAGAGGAUGGAAGAGGCUCGCGGAAUUCCCAGUGUAGAGGUGAAAUUCGUAGAUAUCGGGAGGAACACCAGUGGCGAAGGCGGCGAUCUGGGUCGAUACUGACGCUGAGGUGCGAAAGCGUGGGGAGCAAACAGG
rnacentral:rRNA from 1 species